rnacentral:rRNA from 1 species
GGAGGUAGUGACAAUAAAUCUCAAUACGAAGCCUUUGGUUUUGUAAUUGAAUUGAGAACAAUGUACAAUCGUUAUCGAUAAACAAUUGGAGGGCAAGUCUGGUGCCAGCAGCCGCGGUAAUUCCAGCUCCAAUAGCGUAUAUUAACGUUGUUGCAGUUAAAAAGCUCGUAGUUGAAGUUUAGAUGGUUUGAAGGGGGUGUUAGUAUUCGUACUAUCUGCUCUCUUUGGAUUAUCGACUUCCAGGUAAGCUCAAUAAUCCCUCCGGGGACUAUUAAGCCAGACUGGUCUUUUACUGUGAGAAAAUUAGAGUGUUUAAAGCAGACUUUUAUUUAGUUUGAAUAGAUUAGCAUGGAAUAAUAAGAUUGGCUUUCAUAGUCGAUUUUUUGGUUUGUUUAUGAAAGCAAGAUUAAUAGGGACAGUUGGGGGUAUUCAUAUUCAAUAGCUAGAGGUGAAAUUCUAUGAUUUAUGGAAGAUGAACAAGUGCGAAAGCA